CCUACGGGAGGCAGCAGUAGGGAAUAUUGCUCAAUGGGGGAAACCCUGAAGCAGCAACGCCGCGUGGAGGAUGAAGGUUUUAGGAUUUUAAACUUGUUUUUUUGCGGAAGUAAAUUACGUCAUGUAUCGAUUAUUCACCGUCUAACUCCGUUCCAGCAGCCGUGGUUAUACGGAGGGUGCCAGCGUUAUUCGGAAUGACUGGGCGUAAAGGGUGCGUAGGCGGCGUAAUAAGUCAGAUGUGAAAUCCUGUAGCUUAACUACAGAACUGCAUUUCGAACUGUUGCUCUGGAGUGUGGGAGAGGUAGGUGGAAUUCUUGGUGUAGGGGUGAAAUGCGUAGAGAUCAAGAAGAAUACUCAUUGCGAAGGCGGCCUGCUGGAACAUUACUGACGCUGAUGCACGAAGGCGUGGGGAGCAAACAGGAUUAGAUACCCGGGUAGUC
rnacentral:rRNA from 1 species